GCAAGGAAUUUUUGGCAAUGGGCGCAAGCCUGACCAAGCAACGCCGCGUGCAGGAUGACGGCCUUCGGGUUGUAAACUGCUUUUAUGGGGGAAGAAUCAGACGGUACCCCAUGAAUCAGCCCCGGCUAACUCUGUGCCAGCAGCCGCGGUAAUACAGAGGGGGCAAGCGUUGUCCGGAUUGACUGGGCGUAAAGCGUAUGUAGGUGGUACGGCAGGUGGGGUGUUACAUCUCCAGGCUUAACCUGGAGGCAUUGCUCCAAACCGCCGCACUCGAGUCGUGCAGAGGUUGGUGGAAUUGCCGGUGUAGUGGUGAAAUGCGUAGAGAUCGGCAGGAACACCUAAAGCGAAAGCAGCCAACUGGGCACGGACUGACACUGAGGUACGACAGCGUGGGGAGCGAACAGGAUUAGAUACCCUGGUAGUCCACGCCGUAAACGAUGUCUGCUCGCGUCGUGGGAGUUAACCAUACUCCUGGGACGCUUAGCUUACGCGGUAAGCAGACCGCCUGGGAACUACGAGCGCAAGCU
rnacentral:rRNA from 1 species